GAUGAACGCUAGCGGCAGGCUUAACACAUGCAAGUAGAGGGGUAUAUAGGUGCUUGCUUUUAUAGGGACCGGCAAACGGGUGCGGAACACGUACGCAAUCUGCCCUUAUCUUGGGGAGAGCCCAUAGAAAUGUGUAUUAAUACCCAAUAGUAUAUGUGGAUGGCAUAAUUUAAUUAUUAAAGAAAUUCGGAUAAGGAUGAGCGUGCGUAAGAUUAGCUAGAUGGUGAGGUAACGGCUCACCAUGGCAACGAUCUUUAGCUGAUGUGAGAGCAUGAUCAGCCACACAGGCACUGGGACACGGGCCCGACUCCUACGGGAGGCAGCAGUGAGGAAUAUUGGUCAAUGGACGGAAGUCUGAACCAGCCAUGCCGCGUGAAGGAUGAAGGCGUUCUGCGUUGUAAACUUCUUUUAUCAGGGAAGAAACCACAGAUUUCUAUUUGUGUUGACGGUACCUGAGGAAUAAGCACCGGCUAACUCUGUGCCAGCCGCCGCUGUAACAC
rnacentral:rRNA from 1 species